GACGAACGCUGGCGGCGUGCUUAACACAUGCAAGUCGAACGGAAAGGCCCUGCUUUUGUGGGGUGCUCGAGUGGCGAACGGGUGAGUAACACGUGAGUAACCUGCCCUUGACUUUGGGAUAACUUCAGGAAACUGGGGCUAAUACCGGAUAGGAGCUCCUGCUGCAUGGUGGGGGUUGGAAAGUUUCGGCGGUUGGGGAUGGACUCGCGGCUUAUCAGCUUGUUGGUGGGGUAGUGGCUUACCAAGGCUUUGACGGGUAGCCGGCCUGAGAGGGUGACCGGCCCCAUUGGGGCUGGGAUACGGGCCAGACUCCUACGGGAGGGAGCAGUGGGGAAUAUUGCACAAUGGGCGGAAGCCUGAUGCAGCAACGCCGCGUGCGGGAUGACGGCCUUCGGGUUGUAAACCGCUUUCGCCUGUGACGAAGCGUGAGUGACGGUAAUGGGUAAAGAAGCACCGGCUAACUACGUG
rnacentral:rRNA from 1 species